rnacentral:rRNA from 1 species
AUGUCUGGUGUUUCUUCCAUCAAUCAUCCGGAUUUACGCCGUAUAUCAACAGAUUAUGCUUUCGAGGGUCAUCCAUUACGAAAAGACUUUCCUCUGAGUGGAUAUGUGGAAGUAUGCUAUGAUGAUCCAAAGAAACGUGUGUUUUCUGAACCCAUUGAGAUGACCCAAGAAUUUCGCUAUUUCGAUUUUGCUAGUCCUUGGGAACAGCGUAGUGACAGAUAA